rnacentral:rRNA from 1 species
CAGUAGCCACGGUAAUACAGAGGGUGCGAGCGUUAAUCGGAUUUACUGGGCGUAAAGCGUGCGUAGGCGGUGUUGUAAGACUGAUGUGAAAUCCCCGGGCUCAACCUGGGAACUGCAUUGGUGACUGCAACGCUGGAGUGCGGCAGAGAGGGAUGGAAUUCCGCGUGUAGCAGUGAAAUGCGUAGAUAUGCGGAGGAACACCGAUGGCGAAGGCAAUCCCCUGGACCUGCACUGACGCUCAUGCACGAAAGCGUGGGGAGCAAACAGGAUUAGAUACCCCUGUAGUCCCUGUCUCUUAUAC